CCCUUGAGGCGUGGCUUCCGGAGCUAACGCGUUAAAUCGACCGCCUGGGGAGUACGGCCGCAAGGUUAAAACUCAAAUGAAUUGACGGGGGCCCGCACAAGCGGUGGAGCAUGUGGUUUAAUUCGAUGCAACGCGAAGAACCUUACCUACUCUUGACAUCCAGAGAACUUAGCAGAGAUGCUUUGGUGCCUUCGGGAACUCUGAGACAGGUGCUGCAUGGCUGUCGUCAGCUCGUGUUGUGAAAUGUUGGGUUAAGUCCCGCAACGAGCGCAACCCUUAUCCUUUGUUGCCAGCGGUUCGGCCGGGAACUCAAAGGAGACUGCCAGUGAUAAACUGGAGGAAGGUGGGGAUG
rnacentral:rRNA from 1 species